rnacentral:rRNA from 16 species
GGAUGUGAUCAUACCAGCACUAAAGCACCGGAUCCCAUCAGAACUCCGAAGUUAAGCGUGCUUGGGCGAGAGUAGUACUAGGAUGGGUGACCUUCUGGGAAGUCCUCGUGUUGCAUUCC